rnacentral:rRNA from 1 species
UACGUAGGGUGCAAGCGUUGUCCGGAAUUAUUGGGCGUAAAGAGCUCGUAGGCGGUUUGUCGCGUCUACUGUGAAAACGCGAGGCUCAACCUCGCGCCUGCAGUGGGUACGGGCAGACUAGAGUGCGGUAGGGGAGAUUGGAAUUCCUGGUGUAGCGGUGGAAUGCGCAGAUAUCAGGAGGAACACCGAUGGCGAAGGCAGAUCUCUGGGCCGUUACUGACGCUGAGGAGCGAAAGCGUGGGGAGCGAACAGG